rnacentral:rRNA from 1 species
AACGAACGCUGGCGGCGCGCCUAAUACAUGCAAGUCGAGCGAGAAGGUGUAGCAAUACACUUGUAAAGUGGCAAACGGGUGAGUAACACGUGGGAACCUGCCUCGAAGUGGGGGAUAACGAUUGGAAACGGUCGCUAAUACCGCACGGUUCUGCUCUGAUGGGAAUGGAGCAGAUAAAGAUUUAUCGCUUUGAGAGGGGCCCGCGGCCGAUUAGCUAGUUGGUAAGGUAAAGGCUUACCAAGGCGAUUAUCGGUAGCUGGUCUGAGAGGACGAUCAGCCACACGGGAACUGAGACACGGUCCCGACUCCUACGGGGGGCAGCAGUGAGGAAUAUUGGGCAAUGGGCGAAAGCCUGACCCAGCAACGCCGCGUGGAGGAUGAAGGCUUUAGGGUUGUAAACUCCUUUUGUGGGGGAAAAGAAUGGAUGGUACCCCAAGAAUAAGUCACGGCUAACUACGUG